UCCAAGAUGGCGUCCUAGCCCCAUCCGGUAGUUUCCUUAUCCUCUCCCUGCGGGGCCACGCCCCUGUCGUACGCCGUUCCUACUCGUCCAAUCACUGAGAGGAAAGGCGGGUCAAAGCCGGCGCCCGCGAGAAACAUGGCGACCGUAGAGCGUUGUAGGACUCAGGUGUUUCGUCAGCGUGAAGUGUCUUGGAAACUAUGUUUCCUUAUAAGCCGAGCGCCCUAGUGCCUAUUUGUGACAAGAAGUGCUGAAUGUUAAAGGCGAGGCGGGCGCCCUGCUUCGGGUUUCGGUUUGAGGCUGAGAGCAGAGGAGUACGCUGGUCCUGGAUCCAGGACGCGGAUUGCGGGGGUGGGGCAGCAGCUUGUCCCCUUCCCCCCAGUUUCCACAAUACCUGCGAAUGUCAACGUGGCCAGAGCUGUCUACCCGUAUAGCCUCAGCUGAGUAAACGUGUCUCGAGUUUUUUAUUCCUCUCAGUCAUGAGGAAUGGAAGCAUCAGUUUAGCAGAGGAAAUGUUUGGGACUAAAAAGAGGGGGGGAAAAAAUCUAAGCCUGUUCCAAGAAAUGAAGUAAAAGCCACCGAGUACCGUGACAACCUUGUUCCUGUACCCUUUCUGGGAUAUGAACUCAUCCCAAUUAUAAUGAAACUGGCAUGGUAGACUAUAAUAUGCCUACCUGGCAUAUUUAGGGAUGAAAAAUGCAUAUUACAGUCAAGUGAAAAAACUACCACCUAACAGUUGAGAAUUGUGUUGUAUUUGGUGGCUCUUCUGAGGACUUAAGAUCGGAAGAGAGCCUCUCAGAUCUCCCUGAGGGACUACUGAAGAGGAUUGGACCCAGUAUUGAAAGAGAACAUUAGCUAUGUACUGCAUGGUGCUCUGGAAAUAACUGAAUAAAUACAGAAUGAACUGAUAAGCUAAUAAGCCUUCAAAUCCAGAACAAGCUCGCGGAGCAGGUAAAAGCAGCUGAAUUCUUGAGUGUGAUCAUAGAUGGGAACGCUGGUAUCUCUUCCAAAGAAAAUCUCCCCCUUUGUGUGCUGUUUUCACCAGAGUAAGGAAGAACUGCCAACAUCCGCUGGAUCAUCGAAAAAGCAAGAGAGUUCCAGAAAACCAUCUAUUUCUGCUUUAUUGACUAUGCCAAAGCCUUUGACUGUGUAGAUCAUAAUAAACUGUGGAAAAUUCUGAAAGAGAUGGGAAUACCAGACCACCUGACCUGCCUCUUGAGAAACCUGUAUGCAGGUCAGGAAGCAACAGUUAGAACUGGACAUGGAACAACAGACUGGUUCCAAAUAGGAAAAGGAGUAUGUCAAGCCUGUAUAUUGUCACCCUGCUUAUUUAACUUAUAUGCAAAGUACAUCAUGAGAAACGCUGGGCUGGAGGAAGCACAGGCUGGAAUCAAGA